rnacentral:rRNA from 1 species
CAAAGAUUAAGCCAUGCAUGUCUCAGUACAAGCCAAAUUAAGGUGAAACCGCGAAAGGCUCAUUAAAUCAGUUAUGGUUCCUUAGAUCGUACUCACAUUUACUUGGAUAACUGUGGUAAUUCUAGAGCUAAUACAUGCAAACAGAGCUCCGACCGGAGACGGAAGGAGCGCUUUUAUUAGAUCAAAACCAAUCGGUGGCGGGUCUCCCGUCACCGUACACCUUGGUGACUCUGAAUAACUUAUUGCUGAUCGCACGGUCUCGCACCGGCGACGCAUCUUUCAAAUGUCUGCCUUAUCAACUGUCGAUGGUAGGUUCUGCGCCUACCAUGGUUGUAACGGGUAACGGGGAAUCAGGGUUCGAUUCCGGAGAGGGAGCCUGAGAAACGGCUACCACAUCCAAGGAAGGCAGCAGGCGCGCAAAUUACCCACUCCCGGCACGGGGAGGUAGUGACGAAAAAUAACGAUACGGGACUCAUCCGAGGCCCCGUAAUCGGAAUGAGUACACUCUAAACCCUUUAACGAGGAUCAAUUGGAGGGCAAGUCUGGUGCCAGCAGCCGCGGUAAUUCCAGCUCCAAUAGCGUAUAUUAAAGUUGUUGCGGUUAAAAAGCUCGUAGUCGAAUUUGUGUCCCGCGCCGCCGGUUCAUCGCUCGCGGUGUCAACUGGCGUGUCCGCGGGACGUCCUGCCGGUGGGCUUAGCCCCCCGUGGGCGGCCCAAUCUCAAUCCCACCGCGGUGCUCUUCAUUGAGUGUCGAGGUGGGCCGGCACGUUUACUUUGAACAAAUUAGAGUGCUUAAAGCAGGCUAAAACAUCGCCUGAAUACUGUGUGCAUGGAAUAAUGGAAUAGGACCUCGGUUCUAUUUUGUUGGUUUUCGGAACCCCGAGGUAAUGAUUAAUAGGAACGGAUGGGGGCAUUCGUAUUGCGACGUUAGAG